rnacentral:rRNA from 1 species
AGCUUANCAUGCAGUCGAGCGGGCGAGGUUGCUUCGGUAACUGAGCUAGCGGCGGACGGGUGAGUAAAGCUUAGGAAUCUGCCUAUUAGUGGGGGACAACAUUCCGAAAGGAAUGCUAAUACCGCAUACGUCCUACGGGAGAAAGCAGGGGAUCUUCGGACCUUGCGCUAAUAGAUGAGCCUAAGUCAGAUUAGCUAGUUGGUGGGGUAAAGGCCUACCAAGGCGACGAUCUGUAGCGGGUCUGAGAGGAUGAUCCGCCACACUGGGACUGAGACACGGCCCAGACUCCUACGGGAGGCAGCAGUGGGGAAUAUUGGACAAUGGGCGRAAGCCUGAUCCAGCCAUGCCGCGUGUGUGAAGAAGGCCUUUUGGUUGUAAAGCACUUUAAGCGAGGAGGAGGCUACCUGGAUUAAUACUCUGGGAUAGUGGACGUUACUCGCAGAAUAAGCACCGGCUAACUCUGUGCCAGCAGCCGCGGUAAUACAGAGGGUGCGAGCGUUAAUCGGAUUUACUGGGCGUAAAGCGUGCGUAGGCGGCUUUUUAAGUCGGAUGUGAAAUCCCUGAGCUUAACUUAGGAAUUGCAUUCGAUACUGGGAAGCUAGAGUAUGGGAGAGGAUGGUAGAAUUCCAGGUGUAGCGGUGAAAUGCGUAGAGAUCUGGAGGAAUACCGAUGGCGAAGGCAGCCAUCUGGCCUAAUACUGACGCUGAGGUACGAAAGCAUGGGGAGCAAACAGGAUUAGAUACCCUGGUAGUCCAUGCCGUAAACGAUGUCUACUAGCCGUUGGGGCCUUUGAGGCUUUAGUGGCGCAGCUAACGCGAUAAGUAGACCGCCUGGGGAGUACGGUCGCAAGACUAAAACUCAAAUGAAUUGACGGGGGCCCGCACAAGCGGUGGAGCAUGUGGUUUAAUUCGAUGCAACGCGAAGAACCUUACCUGGU